UACGUAGGGUGCGAGCGUUAAUCGGAAUUACUGGGCGUAAAGCGUGCGCAGGCGGUUUUGUAAGCCCGAUGUGAAAUCCCCGGGCUUAACCUGGGAAUGGCAUUUGGGACUGCAAGGCUCGAGUGCGGGAGAGGAGACUGGAAUUCCUGGUGUAGCAGUGAAAUGCGUAGAUAUCAGGAAGAACACCCGUGGCUAAGGCGGCUCUCUAGUACGGUACUGACGCUGAGACGCGAAAGCGUGGGGAGCGAACAGG
rnacentral:rRNA from 1 species